rnacentral:rRNA from 1 species
AACGUAGGAGACAAACGUUAUCCGGAGUUACUGGGCGUAAAGGGCUCGUAGGCGGCCAACUAAGUCAGACGUGAAAUCCCUCGGCUUAACCGGGGAACUGCGUCUGAUACUGGAUGGCUUGAGUUUGGGAGAGGGAUGCGGAAUUCCAGGUGUAGCGGUGAAAUGCGUAGAUAUCUGGAGGAACACCGGUGGCGAAGGCGGCAUCCUGGACCACGACUGACGCUGAGUGAGCGAAAGCCAGGGGAGCAAACGGG